rnacentral:rRNA from 1 species
GUAUGCUGGAGGUAUCAGAAGUGCGAAUGCUGACAUAAGUAACGAUAAAGCGGGUGAAAAGCCCGCUCGCCGGAAGACCAAGGGUUCCUGUCCAACGUUAAUCGGGGCAGGGUGAGUCGACCCCUAAGGCGAGGCCGAAAGGCGUAGUCGAUGGGAAACAGGUUAAUAUUCCUGUACUUGGUGUUACUGCGAAGGGGGGACGGAGAAGGCUAUGUUGGCCGGGCGACGGUUGUCCCGGUUUAAGCGUGUAGGCUGGUUUUCCAGGCAAAUCCGGAAAAUCAAGGCUGAGGCGUGAUGACGAGGCACUACGGUGCUGAAGCAACAAAUGCCCUGCUUCCAGGAAAAGCCUCUAAGCAUCAGGUAACAUCAAAUCGUACCCCAAACCGACACAGGUGGUCAGGUAGAGAAUACCAAGGCGCUUGAGAGAACUCGGGUGAAGGAACUAGGCAAAAUGGUGCCGUAACUUCGGGAGAAGG